GACAGAUGUGCCGAGCGUUAGGCGGAAUCACUGGGCUUAAAGCGUGUGUAGGCGGUCGAUCAAGUCCCUUGUGAAAUCCCACGGCUCAACCGUGGAACUGCUGGGUAUACUGGUUGUCUUGAGCCAGCUAGGGGCGAGCGGAACAGACGGUGGAGCGGUGAAAUGCGUAGAUAUCGUCUGGAACGCCGAAGGUGAAAACAGCUCGCUGGGGCUGCGCUGACGCUGAGACACGAAAGCCAGGGGAGCGAACGGG
rnacentral:rRNA from 1 species